rnacentral:rRNA from 1 species
AGCCGAGGGGCAACACGGGUAGCAAUACCUGGUGGCGACCGGCGCACGGGUGAGUAACGCGUAUGCAACCUACCCUCUACAGGGGGAUAGCCCGGAGAAAUUCGGAUUAAUACCCCAUAGAACUGUGGUUCUGCAUGGGAUUACAGUUAAAGCUUUGGCGGUAGGGGAUGGGCAUGCGUGCCAUUAGUUAGUUGGCAGGGUAACGGCCUACCAAGACGAUGAUGGCUAGGGGUUCUUAAAGGAUGAUCCCCCACACUGGUACUGAGACACGGACCAGACUCCUACGGGAGGCAGCAGUGAGGAAUAUUGGUCAAUGGGUGCAAGCCUGAACCAGCCAUGCCGCGUGCAGGAAGACGGCCCUAGUGGUUGUAAACUGCUUUUGUACGGGGGUAAUACUCGAUACGUGUAUCGGGAUGCAAGUACUGUAUGAAUAAGCAUCGGCUAACUCCGUGCCAGCAGCCGCGGUAAUACGGAGGAUGCGAGCGUUAUCCGGAUUUAUUAGGUUUAAAGGGUGCGUAGGCUGCAUUGUAAGUCAGUGGUGAAAUCUUAAGGCUUAACCUUGAAACUGCCAUUGAUACUGCAUUGCUCGAGUACAGAUGAGGUAGGCGGAAUGUGUAAUGUAGCGGUGAA